ACUGAGAAAAACUUUACGGCGAAAGAGACUGAUUAUUCCGCUGUUGUAGUGUUUAAGUAAAUAAAUUUACAAGAAAAUAGACAGAAGAUGAUACGGGAGAUCUGAAAGGAUGUUUGGCACCUCUUUGUGAUAAGCAGCAAUGAGACUUGUGUAGAUGGGGAUGAACAUCACCCACAAAACACAGUAACUCAAGGUGGAGAUGGUGAUGUCUCUGGCCACGUUGUACUGUCCAGGCGGCUUUAGAGCCAUGAAGGUGGCCAUGAAUGACACCAGUGCCAGCAGAACAUUGAAACCAAGCAUCAAACCAAAGUUUAACAUGGGCUCCACUGGACAACGCAAAAAGGUUUUUAUGUACGUCACCUCCAAACUGGCGACGUAUUGGGUCAGAGAGGGAGCUUCUUGGGCAUACCAACCGCACAGUCCUGCUUGGACCCCACAACAUCCCAGAAUAACAAACAAGCUCCCUCGUCCUCGUAUGUUCUCCAGAUGAUCACAAGACUUUUCAGGGAAUUCUGUGAUGCACACAAUCUGGAUCACCUGAAGGGAAAUGGUCAGGAUGACUGAGAGGGCCACCGUGGGGAAAAAGGCAUUUAGUGGCUCCUGCAGACGGCAGACGAUGUCUCCUGGCUGACCCAGGAACAGCACCAGGCUUACACAUGUUCCCGCUAGGC